GCUUCUCCCUGCUGCGUCAUGAAGUCGGACCCUUUGAGGAUUACCCAGCAGGAAGCAGUAUUCUGGAUCUCCAGGGGAGAGCAGUCGGCUCUUCCUUGCACCUCCUGCCUUACAUUUGAGAGAGAUAACUGUGUCAAAAACAUGUGCACCUGCUGCAUGGACAACAGUUAGAUUCCUGACUGUUGUUCAUGAACUGGUCUUGUCCACUUGGCAAUGAGCUAAUGGGACGUCGGGGACAGGGGUGUGGUCCCUGGGGUGAUCCCUCUUGGGUCACCUGGAGUUUUGUUGCAAACCUUGGCGGCGCCUGUCUCCACUGCCUUUGUUGGUUUUGGAUAAAGGAAAUGAGGCAGCUGGGGGUGCGGUGGUGUUUGAGCAUGCUAGGUGAACGGGGGUCAGUUACCAACCGGGGGGGGGGGGCGCGUGAGGGUGCAGGGGUGCUGGGCAUCUGACUGCUAGUGUUAGAAUUUUUUAAAAAAUCCUUUUAUGUUAGCAGGGUUUAUUAUUAGCAGAAAGAAAUUGAUAGUGUGGAGUUCUUUUCUACCCCAACUCAGGUUUCUUUCUAACGAAUGAUGUGAGUGUGGAGCCUUGGGUGUAAGAGUUGGGUCCCAGUUGACUGAGUUUUGAUAAAACCCAUACUUGAAGCUCACUGUAGUGUGUGCCCCAGGCCCCCUCCGCCUUGCAGGAGCCCUGCCAGGGUGCACACAGCACCGAGUCACUGUCUCCCCAGCAUCCUCUCGGCUGUGAUGGUUUCCUUGUUGCUAGUGAAGCUGACAGCUUUGGAGAGUGGAGGCAAAGGAGUCUGUGCUCCUUGUGACACAGUGUGGACAUGGAGGAAGGUCAGAGUUCAGCAGAACCAUGCUGGCGCCAUACCGUACCGGGUGCAGGCUUCCCCGGUGCCGAUAUUCCAGCUCGCUCUCCUGAGGAGGUACCAGACGUAGGUCAGUGCAGGCAUCACCCCGCCUUCCGCAUGGGCAGAAACGCUGCGAUUGGUCACGUGUGCUGCUCUAACUUGCUGCUCUGCCUUGAUGCACGACUGGCAGCUCUUCGGGACUGCCUGGCAGUGAGAGGCUGUCUGUCUGUCUGUCUGCAGCCCGGCGUGGGUGGCAGGGGAAGCGCAGGGCGUCUGCUUCCCCGAGGGCUGUAAACAGUAAUUAAAUAGACGUUUGCAUCCAGAUUCUGCUGUUUUAUUUCCUUCUUUGCAAACACACGCAGGAGUUGCAGCUCUGGGUAAUAAAUGGCAAGAAUCAUAGCA
rnacentral:lncRNA from 1 species